CCGGCCUUUUGGUAGUCUUCUCCAUUUGCCUCUUCAGUGGCUGAAUUUAAUCACCAAGGGAUGAGGAAGGCUACAAAAUGUGUCUACCUGUAUUCUGUGAGGAGAACGUGUUCCCUGGUUUUAGAUACUGUGAAGAUGGAUCAGGAGAGAGUUUAUCUAGACUGUUGGGGAAAGGUGUUGCGAUUCCUUCAGCUACACAGGAUUGAAAGGAGACAUUUCUGAAGGGGAAAAAGGAAAUGAAAGAAAAGAUGUUUCAGAUUGAGGAUAUGCUGUGUGGUGAACUUGUUCUUCACUCUGUAGGGUUCACAAAUGACUCUUCACUGCCCUCUUGGAUGAAAUAAACUGGUUCCCAUAGAAAUGGACCGUCUCUGAUUUCACAGUCUAGAGCACACAAAUAACUCAACUUUCUGGAAGCAAGGGUGAUGGCUCGUGAGAGCUCAAGGACAAGGAGGAGUCUGUAGAAGCACACCUGGACUCGGGGAAAUCAUUGACCUCUCAUCCUGAAUUAAGUAGCGCUUGAAAAGACUCUCUUUGAAUCAGAAAAAUAAUGCGAGCUCCUAUCAAACUACCUUACACAGCCAACUGAGUGAUCAUAGGCUUGGGUGGAAAAAAUGUAAUUCGUAGAACCUUUUAAGAGCUAAGAUUCCUUAAUCAACAUGGAUACCGUCUUGUUGAAUGACACCGAACUGUGCUGCGCAGGAUUCGGUUGCAUGGUGGCUGGAGCUGCCUCUCUGGGACCCAAAUCUCAGACCUGCUGCAAAGUGACUAUAUGAUCUGCAACUUGCUAACCCUUCUAGGCUUUUGUUUUAUUAUUUACAUAAUGAAGUGAGGGGAAUAUGUUCCUUGUAAAUUUGUUAAGAGGAUUAAAUUAGUUCAUGUCAAAUGAUUUAGAACACUGUCUGCCACAUAUUAAGGACUCAACAAAUACUACCUAUUAUUAACAAUGUGCCCUAAAUCUGUAAAUCACUCAAUAAUACAUGGCAUUAGGCUAAAUAUGGAAGGUAGAAGGAAAUAAAUUGUCCAGAAGCUAAAAAUAUGAAAGACUCUUCAUAUAUUUAAAAUAUUUUCUUUAAUUCUUUUGUUUUUUUCUUUUUUGAGACAGAGUCUCGCUCCGUCACCCAGGCUGGAGUGCAGUGGCAUGUUCUCGGCUCGCUGCAGCCUCUGCUUCCUGGAUUCAAGUGAUUCUCCUUCCUCAGCCUCCCAAGUAGCUGGAAUUACAGGCAUGUGCCAACAUGCCGAGCUAAUUUUUUUAUUUUUUGUAGAGAUGGGGUUUCACCAUGUUGCCCAGGCUGGUUUCAAACUCCUGACCUCAAGUGAGCCACCCACCUUGGCCUUCCAAAGUGCUGAGAUUACAGGCUUGAGUCACUGUGCCCAGCCUGAAAUAUCUUCUUCACAUCUUUUCAUAUGCAUAUUUGUUUUUACAAGUACAUAAAUAUACAUUUUUGAUAUAACUUGGAAUCUUGCAUUUUCUAACUCAAUGUAAGUAUUUUUCUUCUCUUUUACCUAUAUAAAUAUAAAUAUAUAUAUAUAUACUUAGAUGAUAUAUUUACAUACUUAUUUUACUUAAUAAGUAUUUUUCUAUUAUCAAUAGUUAAAAUUCCACUAUGGUUUAUGCCAUUUAUUAAAUGUCACUUUCCCUUCUCAAAAAAGUCUCAUACUGUUUAAAAACAUUAAAU
rnacentral:lncRNA from 1 species